rnacentral:rRNA from 1 species
AGUGAACGCUGGCGGUAUGCCUAACACAUGCAAGUCGAACGGCAGCACAGUAAGAGCUUGCUCUUACGGGGGGCGAGUGGCGGACGGGUGAGGCAUACAUCGGAAUCUACUUUUUCGGGGGUGAGAACGUGGGGAAACUUACGCUAAUACCUCAUACAUCCUACGGGUGAAAGCAGGGGAUCUUCGGACCUUGCGCGUUUGAAUGAGCCGAUGUCGGAUUAGCUAGUUGGCGGGGUAAAGGCCCACCAAGGCGACGAUCCGUAGCUGGUCGGAGAGGAUGAUCACCGGCACUGGAACUGAGACAAGGUCCAGAGUACUAAGAGAGGGAGCAGUGUGGAAUAUUGGACAAUGGGCGGAAGCCUGGUCCAACGAUCCCACGUGGGUGAAGAGGGCCUCCGGGUUGUAAAGCCGUCUUGUUGGGAAAGAAAAGCAGCCGGUUAGUACCCCGCUGAUCUGACGGUACCCAAAGAAUAAGCACCGGCUAACUUCGUG